rnacentral:rRNA from 1 species
AACGAACGCUGGCGGCAGGCUUAACACAUGCAAGUCGAGCGCCCCGCAAGGGGAGCGGCAGACGGGUGAGUAACGCGUGGGAAUCUACCCAUCUCUACGGAAUAACGCAUGGAAACGUGUGCUAAUACCGUAUACGUCCUUCGGGAGAAAGAUUUAUCGGAGAUGGAUGAGCCCGCGUCGGAUUAGCUAGUUGGUGGGGUAAAGGCCUACCAAGGCGACGAUCCAUAGCUGGUCUGAGAGGAUGAUCAGCCACACUGGGACUGAGACACGGCCCAGACUCUUACGGGAGGCAGCAGUGGGGAAUAUUGGACAAUGGGCGCAAGCCUGAUCCAGCCAUGCCGCGUGAGUGAUGAAGGCCCUAGGGUUGUAAAGCUCUUUCACCGGUGAAGAUAAUGACGGUAACCGGAGAAGAAGCCCCGGCUAACUUCGUGCCAGCCGCCGCCGUAAGAC